ensembl:snoRNA
GCAUGGCUGAAUUCUGUUUUACUGUAUCUGUAGUAAAUUCAGUCAGACACCAUGCAAGAGCACCUUUCUCUCCUAUAUUUUGAAACAGUGAUGAAUGAUGCAGAAUUCAUCAUGGAUUUAAGAGAGGACACAU